AACGAACGCUGGCGGCAUGCCUAACACAUGCAAGUCGAACGAGAUCUUCGGGUCUAGUGGCGCACGGGUGCGUAACGCGUGGGAAUCUGCCCUUUGGUUCGGAAUAACAGUUGGAAACGACUGCUAAUACCGGAUGAUGACGAAAGUCCAAAGAUUUAUCGCCAGAGGAUGAGCCCGCGUAGGAUUAGCUAGUUGGUGUGGUAAAGGCGCAACAAGGGGACGAUCCUUAACUGGUCAGAGAGGAUGGUCAGCCACGCUGGGACUGAGACACGGCACAGACUCCUACGGGAGGCAGCAGUGGGGAAUAUUGGACGAUGUGCGAAAGCCUGAUCCAGCAAUGCCGCGUGAGUGAUGAAGGCCUUAGGGUUGUAAUGCUCUUUUACCCGGGAUGAUAAUGACAGUACCGGGAGAAUAAGCUCCGGCUAACUCCGUGCCAGCCGCCGCGGUAA
rnacentral:rRNA from 1 species